rnacentral:rRNA from 1 species
AGAGCGAACGCUGGCGGCAGGCUUAACACAUGCAAGUCGAGCGGGCGUAGCAAGUACGUCAGCGGCAGACGGGUGAGUAACGCGUGGGAACAUACCUUUUGGUUCGGAACAACCCAGGGAAACUUGGGCUAAAUACCGGAUAAGCCCUUACGGGGAAAGAUUUAUCGCCUUUGGAUGGGCCCGCGUUGGAUUAGCUUGUUGGUGGGGUAACGGCCUACCAAGGCGACGAUCCAUAGCUGGUCUGAGAGGAUGAUCAGCCACACUGGGACUGAGACACGGCCCAGACUCCUACGGGAGGCAGCAGUGGGGAAUAUUGGGCAAUGGGCGCAAGCCUGACCCAGCCACGCCGCGUGAGUGAUGAAGGCCUUCGGGUCGUAAAGCUCUGUGGGGAGGGACGAAACUACGCUGGCUAAUAUCCAGCGGCCUGACGGUACCUCCUUAGCAAGCACCGGCUAACUCCGUGCCAGCAGCCGC